ensembl:lncRNA
AAGCAACCAACAUUUCCUAAAGAACACAAAUACAACAAAGUGACUUCAACUUAGUGAGACACAGAGACGGGUCAUUAAGGAGCAGGUAGGGGUUAGACAGUACAGAGACAGGUCAUUAAGGAGCAGGUAGGGGUUGGACAGUACAGAGACAGGUCAUUAAGGAGCAGGAAGGGGUUAGACAGUACAGAGACAGGUCACUAGGGAGCAGGUAGGGGUUAGACAGUACAGAGACAGGUCAUUAAGGAGCAGGUAGGGGUUAGACAGUACAGAGACAGGUCAUUAAGGAGCAGGUAGGGGUUAGACAGUACAGAGACAGGUCACUAAGGAGCAGGUAGGGGUUAGACAGUACAGAGACAGGUCAUUAAGUAGCAGCUAGGGGUUAGACAGUACAGAGACAGGUCAUUAAGGAGCAGGUAGGGGUUAGACAGUACAGAGACAGGUCAUUAAGGAGCAGGUAGGGGUUAGACAGUAAAGAGACAGGUCAUUAAGGAGCAGGUAGGGGUUAGACAGUACAGAGACAGGUCAUUAAGGAGCAGGUAGGGGUUAGACAGUACAGACAGGUCAUUAAGGAGCAGGUAGGGGUGAGACAGUACAGAGACAGGUCAUUAAGGAGCAGGUAGGGGUUAGACAGUACAGAGACAGGUCAUUAAGGAGCAGGUAGGGGUUAGACAGUACAGACAGGUCAUUAAGGAGCAGGUAGGGGUGAGACAGUAGAGACAGGUCAUUAAGUAGCAGCUAGGGGUUAGACAGUACAGAGACA